AUUGAACGCUGGCGGCAUGCCUUACACAUGCAAGUCGAACGGUAACAGGUCUUCGGAUGCUGACGAGUGGCGAACGGGUGAGUAAUACAUCGGAACGUGCCUAGUAGUGGGGGGUAACUACUCGAAAGAGUGGCUAAUACCGCAUGAGAUCUACGGAUGAAAGCAGGGGAUCGCAAGACCUUGCGCUACUAGAGCGGCCGAUGGCAGAUUAGGCAGUUGGUGGGAUAAAAGCUUACCAAGCCGACGAUCUGUAGCUGGUCUGAGAGGACGAUCAGCCACACUGGGACUGAGACACGGCCCAGACUCCUACGGGAGGCAGCAGUGGGGAAUUUUGGACAAUGGGCGCAAGCCUGAUCCAGCAAUGCCGCGUGCAGGAUGAAGGCCUUCGGGUUGUAAACUGCUUUUGUACGGAACGAAAAGCCCUGGGUUAAUACCCUGGGGUCAUGACGGUACCGUAAGAAUAAGCACCGGCUAACUACGUGCCAGCCGCCGCUGUAACAC
rnacentral:rRNA from 1 species